ACAUCGAGUCAUGAAUAUGGAAUGACUUCACCUGACUUCACUUGAAAUUCACUUAAUUUUCAACUCUGUUGGCUAUGAGGAAAGGACCUCCAGGCCUCACACAAAAAUGGAUCAACGAAUUGAAACUCACCAAAUCACCACCACCAGACAAUGGGAUGCUGAGUCUCAUUCAUCAUGAUUGCUUCCUGAAGCCUUCUGAGUUCCUGUUUCCCUACACAUUGUUACAUUUCUUCCCUGCUACAUAAACCCCCAAUUUUAGUCCAUCAAGGAUAUAGAUUUGAGACUGAUCUUCCAUUUCCUUGGCUGCAACACCCAAUUAUAGCCUUCUUGGCAAUAAUUGUUGUCUCAGUGAUUAGCUUUCUUUGUGGCCAGCAGCAGGACCUAGACUGAACACCUGAUUUUCUGGUCUCUCAAAACAGAAUUUUGGCUUUUCCAGAUUGGCAAAUACCUCUUAGUUAAAUGUGGCUUUCAAGUAUGUGUUUACUCCUUUAUGUUUCAAUUUUCCUUCAAUUUUGGCCUGGAGAGUGUCUCAACUAAGAAGCUAAAAAGGGAAAGAAAAGAAAAGCAAUUAUGUUUUUUUCCCCUGCGGCCUAUACAAACACAUACACACCAAG